UCACUCGGAACAAAUUUCAAUAAACUAAAAAAAAAAAAAAUUAACAUACAUUAGAAUCGUCAAAAAAAUUAAUAACCAGAUUCCUAAAAAAGAAAAAGAUCCCUUUUUAGCUAGGGCUUUUUAGAAUCAGAGCGAAAACAAGAUACAACGAAGCUGUAUAAAUAGAUUUAAAGACGUUAAGCUUCGAGGAAAAGACUACAAAAAACCAACACAAAUAACGCAAAAAUGCGACACAAUAAACGAACGAGCCAUAGCAACAACAAGAAUAUAUCGCGGCUAUUGCUACUAUGUCUACCAACAGUCUCAAAACACGUCACUACGGCAGCCAGACGUUUGCGUCUACAUUUAGCUUAGAGCGUAUAACCUGUCGCCGCUGACGCACCCUCCGCCACGGUUGCGAAGGAUAGUUAUUUGCCUGCCUAUCGCUGAAAAACAAAUCGCAAUAGCAACAGAAGCCAACGCACCACCUGCGAUGAUACCUACAGCUACGGCACCUGUGCCAGGACUGGUCUAGUUGAUCAACACCACCGCUGAUGCUGCUCUUGCAACUAACGAUAAUACAAGGCAUCGGACAGAAUCUGUGGUAGGCAAUGGCAAUAAUGGCUCAAAGGCAAAACAUUUCAUUGACAAGUCGGCAGCCAAUGAUGCGGAGAGCGUCCAAAAACAGGUUGCUGCUAAUUCAGCGGACACGCCGGCGGCACUCUACUCAGCAACCACGGCUGCAGUAGCCACCGCGGAAUUUUGGAUUCACCGGAACACAACGUCGCUGCUGAAGAGACUCAAUUCCCGAAGGAACAGAAGGAAUUGCGGACAAAGAUUGGUGAUGAGGACAUUGACACGUUGGAUGAUGGCAACAAUGUUGGCACUGCCAGCGGCUGACAAGGUAACACGCUUGAGAAAUCUGAUCCGGAGUUGAUUGGCUUCGAAAUUUUGACAGGGCGCCCUCACCCAAUCACAAUUCCCUGUCUUCACAAUUUAUGCACGAAAACCAUGUUUCAGCGUGCGGCCAUGUGCACGUGCCUGGUGUAUUGCCAGUGGUUUCGCGACUUGAUUGUUUGGAGCUAUAUUUAGGAGAAAACGAAUGCACAUGCCGAUUGACCAACUUUUAUCGCUGCGUAAAAUCUUGAGAACUCUCCGAAAGGAUCGCAUUACCCUGACCGGGGCUCACGCAUUCUAGACGCACGCUGUUGUUGAAUAUCUCGAGAGUAACUACGAUGAUAAGCCGAUGAAGACCUUGGAUUCGGUCUAUAAGGAUUCUGGCAGCAUUCAUGAGUGUCGUGAUCUAUGUUUGAGUCCGCCAUUCAGGUAAACAUGGCAGCGUAAAUAGACAAAAGGAAGAAAUAAAUAGUUGAGACGAACGGACACUACACAUUUAGUUGGUAAUAAGUGACGGAAAAAAAUAUGAAGGUAAUAAAACUAGAAGAGGAUUGUUCACCGGAUAUAACCUUAGCUAAUCAUACGGAGAUAUACCAGUUCGGUUAUCAACUGAAGUCAAGUCGCUUGUUGCAGUAUCUUGAAGUUGUAGCACAGCUGCUCUGCAUACGCGAAUUACCAAUGCUUGGCGGCAAUGUAUUGGCAUGUCAACAGCGAAGAUGCUAAUGUUAGGCGCAUUUCAUUGACGAUACAUCUGGGUAAUGGCACUACAUACCGAUGAAAAGCUUUUGUAGUUAAAUUCAAAUUAUGGGGAAAGCUUUAUCCAAGCGGAAAGCUUAGCAGGUAGGUCAAAAUAUGUGU